rnacentral:rRNA from 1 species
UACGUAGGGGGCAAGCGUUGUCCGGAAUCAUUGGGCGUAAAGAGCGCGUAGGCGGCCCUGUAAGUCCGCUGUGAAAGUCAAGGGCUCAACCCUUGAAUGCCGGUGGAUACUGCAGGGCUAGAGUCCGGAAGAGGCGAGUGGAAUUCCUGGUGUAGAGGUGAAAUUCGUAGAUAUCAGGAGGAACACCGGUGGCGAAGGCGGGUCUCUGGGCCGAUAUUGACGCUGAGGAGCGAAAGCGUGGGGAGCAAACAGG